ensembl:snoRNA U3 Small nucleolar RNA U3
AGGUGUGAGCCACCACACCCGGCCAGGAUCAUUUCUGUAGUUCAGUACCAGAGACGGUUCUCUGACAGUGUGGAGCACCAGAAACCACGAGAAGGAGGCACAGCAAUCUCUCCUGAGCGUAGAGCCUGCUCUAAGUGUUGUUUUGUUGCAGCUGCUGUUUGCCAUUGAUGAUAGUUCUCUUCUUUCAGGAGAGUAAGAAGGAGAGGAUGCAGUCUGAGUGGU